GUGCCAGCCGCCGCGGUAAUACGGAGGGUGCAAGCGUUGUUCGGAAUUACUGGGCGUAAAGCGCGUGUAGGCGGUCAUUUAUGUCGGGUGUGAAAUCCCUGGGCCUAACCCAGGAAGUGCGCCCGAAACUGGAUGACUUGAGUACGAUAGAGGGGGAUGGAAUUCCCAGUGUAGAGGUGAAAUUCGUAGAUAUUGGGAAGAACACCGGUGGCGAAAGCGGUUCCCUGGAUCGAUACUGACGCUAAGACGCGAAAGCGUGGGGAGCAAACAGGAUUAGAAACCCGGGUAGUCC
rnacentral:rRNA from 1 species